GCUGUGUGUGUUAAAAGUGCUGUUUGUGCAGGUAGUGUGUUUCCUCUACUGUAGGAGCAGCACUUCACAACACACACACU
rnacentral:pre_miRNA from 8 species